rnacentral:rRNA from 1 species
CUGCCCGGUGAUAUAAUUUAACGGCCGCGGUAUACUGACCGUGCGAAGGUAGCAUAAUCACUUGUUCUUUAAAUGGGGACUAGUAUGAAUGGCACCACGAGGGCUUUACUGUCUCCUUUCUUCAAUCAGUGAAACUGACCUCCCUGUGAAGAGGCAGGGAUACUACUAUAAGACGAGAAGACCCCAUGGAGCUUUAAACCCAACAACAGCCCAAACACCUACCCCCUCAAAGUUUUUAAAGUUUUGUUAGUUGGUUUUAGGUUGGGGUGACCGCGGAGUACAAACCACCCUCCACGACGAAUGGGCCUACCCCCUUACCCAAGAAUUACACCUCUAAGGAUUAACACAUUAACGUAAAAUGAUCCAAAUAUUUGAUCAACGAACCAAGUUACCCUGGGGAUAACAGCGCAAUCCAUUUUUAGAGCCCCUAUCGACAAAUGGGUUUACGACCUCGAUGUUGGAUCAGGGUAUCCCGGAGGUGCAGCCGCUUCCAAUGGUUUGUUUGUUCAACAAUUAAAACCCUACGUGAUCUG